rnacentral:lncRNA from 1 species
CGUAGGACCCUCUGAGCCAGGUGCGGGAUAUAAUCUCGCGGUGCGCCGUUUUUUAAGCCCGUCGGAAAAGCGCAGUAUUCGGGUGGGAGCGAGCCGAUUUUCCAGGUGCCGUCCGUCACCCCUUUCUUUGACUAGGAAAGGGAACUCCCUGACCCCUUGCGCUUCCGGAGUGAGGCAAUGCCUCGCCCUGCUUCGGCUCGCGCACGGUGCACGCACCCACUGACCUGCGCCCACUGUGUGGCACUCCCUAGUGAGAUGAACCCGGUACCUCAGAUGGAAAUGCAGAAAUCACCCGUCUUCUGCGUGGCUCACGCUGGGAGCUGUAGACCGGAGCUGUUCCUAUUCGGCCAUCUUGGCUCCUGGAUCUCUGUGUCAACCUUCUUUUAUUUUUAAAAGAUAUUCACUGUCUCUUACUAAAGCUUCCUGUUCAAAGUCUGGCUGAGAAUUUUUGCUGCUUCUUUCCCUACCUCCUCAUUUCCGAAGAACUAAGGUUAAACCAUGACCACUCCUCGAGGCCUUCCCUGGAGAUUCGGGCUCAUAGAUUCCUUCUUUCUCUGAAUUCUAAAGUACUUAUGGAAGAUUCAGCAGAUAAUUUUUAAUGAAUUAAAUUUUAAUACAUCAAAU